AUUAAUUAAAUAUUAUAUGUUUUAGAUGUAUGCUGAAAGCUUUUUUACUAUCAAAAUUUGCUCUGGUGGUCCUAUCUAAUAAUAGCUCAAUUUAUCAGACAGCAUUAUUUUUUAAUUGCUUGAGCAAAUAUGUGCUUAAGAAUAGAAGGAAAAGGUAAAGAAAGAGGUGUGGAAACCAGAAUCAUCACCAGGAGGUGAGUGCAUGUGUGUGGAAACUUCACAUGGGACCUUGAAUAUGCUAUGGUAGAAAAUCCACUGGUGAAGUGAUGGGCUUGAUCAAACAGUGUUCUAGCAGAGACACAGCUGGACCUGGUUUGCUUAGAAUUGACCAUAAAGAUAUUCUACUUCAAAUUUUACAGUCUUGUCUGCAAGGACCAAAUCAACCUCCAGUCAGGGAAAAAAAGAAGAGAAGAAUUACUGUUUACCUAUGGAUAUUCCAUUAAUGUAAAAUAUUUUGUAUACCUUUAUUCAUGAAGAAGUUAGGCAACAGCCUAAAAAUACACAGCAGAGGAAAUGGGAAAGAAAUUUGCCUCUAUGACAGUACACUUUGAGUGUCAUUGGCUUUCAUAUUGGCUAUUAAAAAAGGUCAUGAUGCACAGGGAUCGUGAGUCAGCCAGGGACUGGGAGGAUGAUGGGAUUUGAAAGCAGGUUGUUUUGUCUCUGUCAGCAGGCUGCAAGUUUGUUUAUGAAAGGCACAAGUUGAACUGAAGAUUAAAUCUGCCUCAUUUUUUUUGAUCUCCAUCUGUUGAUAAGGACUGGCAUGAGCCCAGCGGCAUUAUGGCAUGAAGUUCUUUACAAGCCCAAUGUCUCAAAGAAGCCUGAAUUUCUAUCCCUGGAAACUCUCUAUCUACUAGAACCUAGAAAGAAUAGUUUUGUACAGGAUUUUUCAUAUUGCACUGCAGUUCAAGGACCAGUUUCAUACCUGGUGAGAGAUGUCCUGCACCUCACAUGACACAUAUUUUGGCAGCUCUUGCCACGUUUCUGUAUUACAAGCACAACUCCUGUUGUCUCCUUGGCUCAAUGAAGAUGCACUCUACCCAACAGUCCUUAGGUAAUUCUCUAUCUUAGCCUAAUAUCUGUCAAGUUUAGUGUGACUACAUGUUAUACAUCUUUUUACAAAAGACCUAUUGUUCCU
rnacentral:lncRNA from 1 species